rnacentral:tRNA from 1 species
GGGGAUGUGGCUCAAGUGGUAGUGUGCUCACUUAGCAUGUGUGAGGCACUGGGUUUGAUUCUCAGCACCACA